AAUCCAUAGGUUAAUGAGGCGAACCGGGGGAACUGAAACAUCUAAGUACCCCGAGGAAAAGAAAUCAACCGAGAUUCCCCCAGUAGCGGCGAGCGAACGGGGAGGAGCCCAGAGCCUGAAUCAGCAUGUGUGUUAGUGGAAGCGUCUGGAAAGGCGCGCGAUACAGGGUGACAGCCCCGUACACAAAAGCGCAUGUGCUGUGAGCUCGAUGAGUAGGGCGGGACACGUGGUAUCCUGUCUGAAUAUGGGGGGACCAUCCUCCAAGGCUAAAUACUCCUGACUGACCGAUAGUGAACCAGUACCGUGAGGGAAAGGCGAAAAGAACCCCGGCGAGGGGAGUGAAAAAGAACCUGAAACCGUGUACGUACAAGCAGUGGGAGCACAGGUUUACCUGUGUGACUGCGUACCUUUUGUAUAAUGGGUCAGCGACUUAUAUUCUGUAGCAAGGUUAACCGAAUAGGGGAGCCGGAGGGAAACCGAGUCUUAACCGGGCGUUAAGUUGCAGGGUAUAGACCCGAAACCCGGUGAUCUAGCCAUGGGCAGGUUGAAGGUUGGGUAACACUAACUGGAGGACCGAACCGACUAAUGUUGAAAAAUUAGCGGAUGACCUGUGGCUGGGGGUGAAAGGCCAAUCAAACCGGGAGAUAGCUGGUUCUCCCCGAAAGCUAUUUAGGUAGCGCCUCGUGAAUUCAUCUCCGGGGGUAGAGCACUGUUUCGGCUAGGGGGCCAUCCCGGCUUACCAACCCGAUGCAAACUGCGAAUACCGGAGAAUGUUAUCACGGGAGACACACGGCGGGUGCUAACGUCCGUCGUGAAGAGGGAAACAACCCAGACCGCCAGCUAAGGUCCCAAAGUCAUGGUUAAGUGGGAAACGAUGUGGGAAGGCCCAGACAGCCAGGAUGUUGGCUUAGAAGCAGCCAUCAUUUAAAGAAAGCGUAAUAGCUCACUGGUCGAGUCGGCCUGCGCGGAAGAUGUAACGGGGCUAAACCAUGCACCGAAGCUGCGGCAGCGAACGUAUCACUUAAAGCGAUUCAGCGGGUUACGAUUGACGGAGCGAAGCGACGUCAAAGCGUAUACAAAGUCG
rnacentral:rRNA from 1 species